CAGAGACUUAAAUCUGCAGUUACUUUUACUUCCAUCCAUUUAAAGGUUUAUGGAUAUGUCCAAACCUUACAGUGUCUUUGUGCUGUUGUGGUGAUACUACAGUGGCUAAAGCCUUUCUGUGUCACAGCUCUGCAUGAUGAGAGAUGGGAGGAGGGAAGGAUAGCGCUGCUUGCAGAGGCUGCAGGAAGGAACUGCUUGGCCUCCAGAAGACACAAAAAAGGGAAAAGGGAGGAGGUCUGGAAUGGGAUGUGGACACAGGAGAACCAAACAGCUGUGCAGGGUCCUCCCUGGGGAUAAGGGACAUGUGGGUGCCACUGUCCCCUGCAAGAGGCAGCUCCCGUAUGUGAUCGGGUGCCAUGAGCAAUGCUGCCCUCUCGUGCUGCUACUGGAUGGAGCCCAUCACUGUGCCAGUCCUGCAGUGACAGCCUGUUCCCAGCAUUGCUAUUGCUAUUGCUCUGUCCGGUAGCUUUUGCUUUAACCGCACUAUUACUUUACAUAAAAGCAGAAGAGGCCAGAGCGGAAUGCUGAAUGCGUAUGUUGAGUCGUUACAGAGUUCAGUUCACCCCAGUCCCAGCUCAUUCGUGCUCGACAGAGACUUUAACUCUAAAAUUGGGGCAGUAACCAUUAUCUUUUCUCUUUUAGCUCCUCAACUGUUUUGACUGUAAGUAUUUUGGAUCUCAUAAACAGAUGUAUAAUACCAACCACAGUGCAUGACAAUUCUGACUGGGGGUCCUAACAGUCUAGUAAUUAAAAUAUAAAUAUUCGCACUGCAGCGGAUUCAUGGUAUUGUCUUAAAUCACUUAAAGGUUUUAACUGCUUAAAGGGAAGGACUGUAGUAUAAAAUGAAAGAGCUGCUUUUCAGUUAGAGUAAAUCCAAUCAGCCCUGCCAGCUCUAAACAUCCGUAGGUGUCUGCUUGGAAACUCGCAGAGCACCUCACUGCUUUAUUUUUACAAGUGUGUCUUCCAGUGAUCCUGAGUUCUUCUUAAAAGCAGGCUUGCAAUAAUUUAUGUAUGUCUGUGGGGCUGAUAAUUAUAAAGAUAAAAUGGUAUUUUGCAAACUAAACAACUACUUAAAGAAUGACCUGAACUCUAUAUUAAAAAAAAAAAAAAAAAAAAGUCAGGCUUGAUCCAUAAGCUGACAAUAGUAAGGAAAUUCAGACACGAACAGGGAAGUGUUCCAUAUGUUCUCCAAUACCUACGCACAACUGGGUGCCUCUUUAAUGAUGAGCUGAAUGCUCCCUGUUGUUCCUAGGUACUGCAGAACAUAUGGCGUGUUUUUCCCUUUAACUGUGAAUUUCCUUGCUUUUGUCAGUAGGUGUCUUAACUCUCUUGUAUUUUAAUAUAGUGUUUGUGUCUCUAAGCAUAGUCCAUAGGCAAAUAGGAGGGGAGAUACAGCUGUUGAUUGUCUCAUAUUCUUCUUGAAACUGUAUUUCAAUACAUAAUCCAUAUCUAUAUAGACACACCUUGUAACUGUUAAUAAGAGCCCUCUGAGAGUUUAAAAAUCAUUUCACUGUUCUCUAAACUUAGCAUGGAUGAUAAAUGACCAUUUAGUUGCCAAUAUAGCACAAUAUUUCAAUUUCCUGCCUUCACAGAGGUAUUCCAAAGGUUGAAUGGAGUUCAUACUCACAGUAUGUGUUGUCUAGAACUCUAUGAUCUCUUGCUGGCAAACUUUAAGCAAAACCUUUUCAAUUAAGUAAACGCAUUCCUUGUGGAAGUCAGCCAACCUAAUGCUGGACAAAUAGUUUCAGUGACAUUUUACAAUAACCUCCCCCCGCUUUUGACUCUAGGUAAAGUGUAGGCAGAGUGAGUUUAUUAGUCGAUGUGUAAGCUAUGUGAUUAAUAAGAAGAUUAAUAUAAUGUUGAACUAAAAUUUGCUCUAUGGCAGUGAUCUAAGUCCAGUGUAGUUUCCUUCAGUUCUGCUGGAAUCCUGAUUUUACAUACUGUAACCAUGGAUAAAAUUUAGACUACAACCAGCAGAACAGAGAUCAUGCUAACAAAAGCACAGGAUACUGAGGUAUUAACUUGAACCAGAUUGAAUCUGAGUCUGGUUUGGUGAGGUUUGGUUCUGAUCACAUUUGGAAAUAUUCACACCAGGAAUUUGUUUUAAUAGCUAUGGUGUUGAUUGCUGGAAUAUAGGCAGCAAAGGCGAUUGAGGAAUACCUGUUCCUUUAUGAAAAAGUGGGACAAAAACCCUCUCAGAGCUUUUAAAAUAAAAGACGUGGCCUUUGACACUGGAAUUCCCCAAGAAAAAAACAUUGGAGGAGCAUUCUGGAUAAAUACUACUGCGUGCUUGCCCUAUGUAGGUACUCUUGUGUGGCACAUUUCUUGUUGACUGCUCUUGGAGACAAGUAACUGGGCCGAAGAAACUUUUUGUCUGAGCUGUCACAGCCAUUUUUUAUGCUAAAUAUUUGAGAGCCGUGAUAACCAGCAAUAUAUAAACGACAGCUUGUUCUAGAGACACAGACAGAAACUCUCCAUUUCUCAGUCACCACAACUUUUGAAGCAUGUCUGCGUGAUGAGGAGAAUCUUCCAUGGGUUCUGUUCCUUCCCAUUGCCUUCCCUUAAGGUAGAUUUUCCCCUUCUGUUUGAAUGCUACCUGUUUGGCUUAAAUAACCCCUUGAACCUUGCUGUUUUCCCAUGCUAAUUUUAUUUUUCUUGCCUUCCGUGUUUCUUUGAAAAGCUAUGCAUUCCUUCUGGGACUCUAUUAUGGUUGCUUAAGUAGCCUCCAUGCUGAGUUGAAGGAUUUUAAUUUCCUUACUUCUGACUUCAGGGCCUUUCUGACUAGCUUCCUCAUUAUUAUUUUUUUUUUUUUUAAAUCCCCUUUCUAAAGCUUAAUGUCACAGUGCUAGGUUUUGUUGCAUUCCAUCCCACAAGGACACUGAACUUAAUUACACUACGCCCCUUUGUACUUAGUGAUUCAGCUACAGUUAGUUCUUCAACUCACUUCUACGUGGCAUUUGCACUGCUAGUGGAGUACUUUUUUGGGUGUUUUUUUUAAGCAGGAAAGGUAACUUUCAACAGUUAUCUCAGUUUAUAGUGCAAAUGGGGCAUUUCUAUAAAGAACCUUACAACCCUGUGAAUGUUGCCUCAUUCACUGGUCUUCUCUAAAACUACAUUACAUUAUCAUGGCCAGGGUUGUGGCAGGACAGCUGAUACUGCAGUUGGAGAGUUUGGGAGUUUGGUUGAGAAGAUCAAGGACUAGAAUUAGCAGGUAGAAUGACUAUGAAGAAGACUCUCUCUUCCCCAGUUCUCUAUCCUAACGGUACAUGUGGGAUUGGUGCAUCUCCUUUCCCUGGUUUUCUUCUCUCCUGGAGACAGGAAUCUGUGUUCUGUGGAUUUUUUGGUGUUUAAAGCCAUUCCCAUGACUUGAAGAAUAAAGUCCAGUGUCAUGGGAAUGCCUGCCCCAUCACACAGUGCGAAUGUGGGACUUACGUAGCUAACUGCUCACUUUAAGUCCCGCUACCUUCUCCUCUGUGAGUCCCUGACAGAAUCAGAUGUGCAGAGUCCCCCAAGCAACAGUUCCUUAAUAUUUAGCCUGCACAUCUUAGAAGCAUCAGAAAAAUCUCCAGGCAUUCAUGCAUUGGUAAGAAAUCUCUUGAAAGGCUGGUAUGUGGCUUAUCCACUUCUGUCCUUCCACCCUGUCUCACCAGUCUGUCUUAUUGAAGUCCCUAGAGAGUUGACUAGGUUCUUCUGUUUUAGCUACUCUUCCCUGAGCAAAGUGCCCUUCUGUUCUUACCUGGGUUGUCCAAUCCCUCCUGGAGUUCAGCUAAAUGGCAGUGUAAGGAUGAGCGAUUGCUGGCAUUUGUUUGACCACUGCACCUUGUUUUAUUGACCACCUUUUGUGAUGCUGAGUUGCACUGCUGGAACAUCCCCCCAGGAGGACCGCCUGCCUAUUGCAGGGCUCAGCUGUAAUUUUUGCCCUCUCCUUUACAAACAGAUAUCUUGUUACCUACGCAUAAAUGACAGCGUGUCUCUGUCUGCCUUUUAUGCUCAUUUUUCUCCUGUUUUCUAGUUUCAAUAACAAAUCUUGUACCUUGUCAGUGUAUUUGUAACAAACUUCCAAUCCUAUUUGGAUUUUUCCUACCCCAAAAGUCACCCAAUACACCAUAUGGGGAAACCCUCUUUGUGCACAGUCCAUCACCUUCAUACACAGUUAAAGAUUCUCACGUUCCUCUAGCUGACACUAGGAAGAUUUUUGAGAAAUCUGUUGUUAUCUUCCCACUUAUUAUAAAAAUGACUCUCAGAUGUACUUUUACAAUCAUGGUAGCAAACAGACACUUUUGGAAGAGGAGGGUCAAUCUAGAACACUUGCAAGGGGCCCCAAACUAAUGAGGUAGAAAGAGAUCAACUUGAUUAAGGAAGGCACCAGCAUAGAACAUCCAGUCAAUGGUCUGGUCAAGAAAGAGAGUUGUAUCACAGAAUCUGCUUUUGGCUUCCAGGUGGAUUUUCACACUGCAAAACCAAGAUGGCAGCAGGAACUAAUGCUGCUUUAAGGAGCUGAAACCCAGGGCUGAAUCACCAAAGAUCAGUUACUGUUUCUUGUAGGAAAGGCAAGACAACAGGCAAAACCGAAGUACUCAUUGUUGGAAAGCUGUUUAUCUUGCAUCUGAAUAUUUUGACUGUUUGAGACUUCUCUCACCAGUCUGCACCUUAACAUCCUACACCAUUUGACAGGAUUCGCUGAAGGACUCCUGAACCAGGGUAGCCAAGCAAGCCUCACUCACUGACUUUCCUGGUGGUGUUGCUGCCUGAGUCGUGGCUUGUGGCUUGCAAGGCUUGAGACUUGAUUCAAAGCUCAGCAAAGUCAAUGGAGAAAUUCUCAAUGACAACAGCAAAAUUCGAAUUGAAUCUUAGGUCAGCUUUUUAGCAACCUUUUUUUCCACAUUGUUCAACGUGAUAUUAGUCUGUUUAAAGUCCUGUUUUCUGUCAGAUUGCCUCAAUCAGUUAAUCUCAGUGUACACCCAUGGGUAAGGGGUUUCAUGUGUUCUUUAACCAGGGGGAUGGGCAAAAUGUGGAAGCACUGUUAAAUGUUUAAAAUGGGCACUAAUAUAUCAUACUUGUCCCAGAGAAAGUUUCUGCUUUCUUUUCCCGGAGAAGGGAUGGAUUUUCCUUUAUGGGUGAUAUCUGGACCCAAUGAAAUAAGCUGAAAAAUUCCUGCUGACGUGAAAGAAAGUGGCAUGUAUGUGUGAAUAUAUAUUUGUGAAUUUUUAUACACUGAUCUAGUUAUGUAUGUAUAAUUAAAAUCUUCAUAUAUUUGAAAUAGCUUUAAAAUUAAGGGGUGGCUUUCUGUUUCCUGAGUGUUAUUUUGAAGCCAAUAGAAAGACAGCAAACUGUGUCAUAUACUGAUAGUGUUGAUUAGUGAUUAUAAUUGGAUGGUAAUAGUAAUAUGAUAUUGUACUAAAGGUUGAGGUUUUUACAGUAACUCAGAUUGUCAUCUGUAAAAUGCAGGGCACUGGAACAAGUAAAGGCAGUUACUGUAUUUAUCCUUUCCCCUAAUUUAUGUCUUCAUUUCUUAUUAUUAACCUUUCCUCUAGCAAAAUUGCUCAAUGAGAAUAUUCUACCUCUAGCCAUUGGGAUUAAUUUUGUGGAAUAACUUUGGCAACACUAUUAUAAAUGCAGAACUUAGAAAAUGCAUCCUCCACAAAAUGCAGAACUUGCCUGUAUCCUCAUCAGAGAGUUGCAUUUAUUCUCCAAAGCUGUCUCUCUUCUGAGGUGCAUUAGAAAUAGUACUGUAUGUUAACCCCAGUAGGGUAGCUGGUUUCUGCAAUCUGGUAUUUCAGUUGGAAAGUGGGAGGUGGCUUUGGUGUCACUUUUAGGUGACUCUCUGUCCCGCUUGGGCAUAAAGCAGGUAGAUGUGACUGUCUGGAGAAGGAGGGUUUAUGCUGUAGAGUCAGCUAAAGGGAGGAAGAAAGUUUUUGGAAGGAAUGGAACUUCCCCACUCCUGCCCCGCUAAUGAAUGCAGAUCUCCAAACGGAACUGCGAUCUAAACCCUCUGAAAUCAUAGGUGCCUAAAAACAAUUAUUAAGAUAGGGUUUAACUAUGUAAGUCUGUCACAGACCCACAAAAACUAUGCCUGGCAGCCCAAGCUUUUCAGACUCCACAGGUGCUGACAUUUUCACCAGCAGUCAGUUAGGCAUGUAAAGUUCAAAUUAUUCAUUAUGGUUGUGGUCACCUUUUAUAUACCUUGUGGCAUUUAUAGAAGGGCGAGUGGCUGCUCUAUUUCCAGUGCCUGAACUAGCUCAUGUAGGGUAGUCAGGACAGCACUGAAUCACAGAAUCACUGAAUAGUUUGGGUUGGAAGAGACCUUCAAACGUCAUCCAGUCCAAAUACGAAAUAUGCUUUGCAGCCACCCCCCUCAAUGCCCUGCUCAUACUUGUGAAUUUGAACUCUAUAUUCUGCAGAGACUUCGUCUAGGGGAAGCAGCAUCUGCUUUGUUUGAGCACUUGCUUUGUAUGAGUACUCAGCAAACACACAAAACUUCCACAAAACAGGAUAUCAUAUUUUCCUGUGAUUUUGCAAUUGCCUGUCAUUAGGGUGGGGGAUGUACAUGCACACAGGAUAAAAGGAGUUGCAUCAAAAUCAGUGUUUACACAAACCUUUGUAAACAAAACAGUAUCUGCUCGGCUAGCUGCAGUGUUUCCAGUUCAUUGCGAUACCUAAUUGUUGUCAAAGUGUUGUGUUUUCCUUGACACCGAAUAUAAUUUACGGGAAGAGGUAAAUGUAACACCCAUUAAUCUCCUGAUGAAUGAGCAGAGCUACCAUUUCAUGCUUGACUUUACAUUUUUUACUCUGGUUUGUACCUGAUGAACGUAAGCUCGUGGAAAUUAUUUGGCAGUAUUCUCUCUCUGUGCAAACUCCGGGAAUUAUUACUGUGCAGGACAACAACGACCACUAGUGGCAGAUGAUUUUUUUUUUUUGUAGAAUUGCUAAAACCGGAUGGAAAAAGCCACGAAUUCAAUAUGUUGAGUUAAUGCAACACAUGCUAGUGAGUGAAUUUUGUGCACUAAGACAUAAAUACCUGUCAAUGGUAUUGUAAAGUGCAUGUAUUCUGUUCACAGCUGUGAUUUGUCUCCUUUUUUUCUAGGACUGCUCCAAGGGAUCCUCAAGCUGCCUGCUUGCUCUUUGGUCAGUACUAAUGCAGCCUGCUCCAAGCCCACUUCUCCCUCAAAAUCACUCAGUUUUGCCCUUGCUCUAUCCCUUACAGGUUCAGUGCCUGUAUUCCUGUGAAUCAGAAGCACAACACAGGGUCUUCAGCAGCAAACAGCAGAGGGGCUUCCAGCUAUCACCCCGAUAUGGAGAAUCCAGGCUUUACCCCUGGUUUAGGUACAGCACGCCCAUCCUUGGUACUGCAGUUGUAGCUUGACUGUUGGUGGGCCAUGGAAAUGUUGCAAACCUUCUCCUGGUAGGGAUGGGCCACCUGGGUGUGGAAGGAGCUGUGGUGUCACUUUUCUAUAGCAACGUAUAUAUCCUGCACUGGCAACAAACCUCACAUGAGAACAUUUUCCUCUGUGAUCUCAUUUCCUUCUGGAAUGAGACUUAACCAUACCUGUGAAGAUUGGCCUCACUAAGCAAGGUGAUCAACUGGUUUCAGACUUUAAUACUCUUCUGCAGUAAUGAAGCAAAUGGUGCAGUUUGAAUGGUGUAAUUACCCUGACACCCAAAGGGACCAUUUGCACCUGCAGCCGCUCAUGUUAGAGCUCUGCCAGAAAAUAUCAUUGAGUGACUGUCCAGACUUAAGAGGAAAGGGGGACGCAGGGCUGUGGGAGACCUGGCUUUCCCAGCUGUCCCACUGGCUUACAGCCAACAAGGUCUGAUUUUACUACACCAACUUUCCAGAAGUAAAAUGUUACCUUAGUAAAAUAGUAUCGACCCUUGAGAUACAUUUGUCCCUGUAGCCUCAACUCGUGGGCAGCAGGGACAUCCUGCCUCUGCUGAGUAGGUUGUUCUUCCAGCAUAGCAGUGGUGCUAAUGGGGACACCUUAGCCUCUCUUUUGAGGAAAAGCUGUCUGAAAUGCUGUUGUACUGUUGGUGUAGGCUGGGCACACUCUGGGAUGCCUCCACUUGGGACAUGUUGAGGGGAUGCUGGAAAAUGCCGCCCUCCUUGGAGAGUCCUGGACAGUGGGUGGCUCAAACCUGGGCAGCUCUGAGCAUCUCAGUGGAUUUUUAAGAGACCUGGUGAAGCUGAAGGUCACACAGAGAGGUGACAUUGCCAGGGCUAAGGUGUAAAUGGUGAUUUUUAGCUGCAAUUACUCCCAUUCCAUCUGAACCCUUCUUACAGGCACCUUGCUGGUUCUGGCUGAGUCUGCCAUCUCGUCUUUCAAAGAUGAAUAAAAGCAUUUCACGACUUCCUAGGACAAUCCCCGGUUAUUCUUUAGUGGGACUGUGGACUUAGCCCUUGGGCUGCUCUGAAAACAGAGCACACCGGUGCAAGAGCACCUCUCCCUUGGAAGAAGCUUUAUGGUGGGGAAAGACUCAUCUGGGAGAGCAAAAUCCAGUUCUUGAAUUACUAUCCUGAAAGAAAGAUGAGCUGUUUAGCAUGGACUAAAACGUUCACCCAGAGAGGUUUGAAACCUCUGGAAGAAUUUUGGGAGUUGAUGCUGCUGGGGGUCUCCAGGGAGAGGAGAUAUAUAGGCACGUAUAGGUGUGCCUGGGUCAGGAGGUGCCUGAAGUGUGCCUACUGUUGGCUUCACCAUGGCAAUUUAGAGAUAUAGUUCCCUCAGAGAGGUGGAGCUAAAAUGCUGUGAGUAGAGGAGUGAGCAGGAAGAGCAGCUGUGUGUGCUGGCAGGGGUGGCACAAGUGAUAAGCCCCAUGAUGCUGCCCUUGGUCAUGGGAGAGGGGAGGGAAGAACGAUGCCUGUGGCUGCCUGUGUCUCCAUGCAGGAGCCCUCAGACACUUGUGGAGCUUUUCAGGUCUUCUCUUGCUUCCUUGGAGGCACUCAGCUGACUCACUUCUCAUGUCUGGCCUGUCUGAUUCGAUCUGCAGCUCUGGAGAAAGAAAUGGGAGGUCUCCCUGACCUGGGUUGAAAGCCUUUAUGUUUCUUCUUGGAUUCUUUCCAAGCCUGAUUUGUCUGUAUCAAUAGACAGGUCACCUUUCUUUGCCUUCAAACUUGAUGGCUUUACAUUUAUCAUCACAGUAUAUCUCUUAAAAGUUAGCCAAGAGGGAUGACUUGCAUGUGAGUAUACCAAAGAAGGAUAUUUUUAAAGUAAUCAUCUUCAUUACAGAUAAAUGAAAUAGAAAGCGGGUGACAGAUAGUACAUUUCUUUCUGAGAGACUUCAAGUAACUGGAAUAUCACUCCAUUAAACUGGACUGAAUAUUAUAAUAUUCAUCCAGUGAACUGGAGAGAAGCACUAUUUUCAGCCUAACAUUAAUCUAAAUGGACACUUUCCUCAAGUUUUAAAUUAUUUAUUCCUUUGCUAUCUUGCAAGUCCAAGAUAACCGUGGUUUUAAGAACAGCUUUGAUCCACUUCAUGAAGGAAAGGUUUUGGCUAUGAAGAGAUCAGCCAGAACUGCUCUGUGGUGUACCUGUGACACAGCAGAGAAGCUGGUCCUGCUCCACACAGAGGGGGAACAACAGAGCUGAUUUGUUAAGUGUGCAGCUGAUGCGGUGUGCAGGGGGAAGGCAGCCUGGGAGUCAUUUGAGAUGUUGUUUUCAUGCCUCUUAAUAGAGGCUCAGACAACAACAGACAGUUGCCACAGGGCUGUUAAUAAAGGUUUCAAGUCAUGAGGGAUGUCUUGCCUGGCCUUUGCUCCUUGGACAGCAUGAAGGUGGUACUCCUGACCUACUCCUAAGUUCCCCCGUCCUCAGGUGGAGUAGCUGCUUUGUGGGUUUUGUCCUUAACCAUCUCCUGAAGAAUUUUGUGCCAUCCUCUGGCUGCCACAAAAACUGGAGUGAGGACAAGGUAUAAUAGUAAUGGGCAAAUGAGCAAAACAGAAAGUUAUGAAUUUUUCCAUGUUGGGUAAAUGCACACUUAAUUGCCGCUAUGCUCAUGUGUAGUCUCACCUUGCACUGUACCUCAAAACUCAUCUCACUCCAUGGGAUUGCUGGCAGCUACUGGAUCUUGGGGAGAGGCAGAUUGCAGAUGUCCUCUCAGAAGGAGGCACCUACUUCUGGAAAAGAAGCAGAAGACUUGGGAGGAAUAAGGACUCCACUGUUAGUUUCUGCCUUGCUAUCUUUGUUUUGGGAGACAGGUACAGGAAACGUUUCCAACAUAAACAUUUUAAUUGGAGUGUCUUCUGGCUCUUCUCAGCCAUCAACAGAUUGUGUGUGUGUGUAGCAUGACUGUUUACAACUUUUCAAAGUGGGAAAAACUGAUUUCAGGUGUGUGUUCCCCUAGCCCCAAGAAUUUUACUUUACAAUAGAGUGUGGUGCCUUUAGCAAAACAAUCAGGUUACUGGUCUGGCACCAUUGAGCAAACAGCAACAGUGCAACCUUCUCUGUGGUACCACAGAAAUCUGGUGUUCCUCUCUACUGAGCACUGUAUCAUAGAUUUUUUAAAUGAUGAUGCGGGGAGGUAGGAGCAGAAGAACCCCUUGUGCAAUGAGAUCAAUGCAGGGACGGAAACUCUUGACUUGGUGGAGAGACUGACCUGCACUGGGAAAUCACUCCUACGGACCUGGACUGAGAUAUUGGCUCUGUACAACCCCAAGUGUGCGAACGCUCCAGGCUGUACAACAGCAGCUUCUGCAUGGCUUUGAGUCAGUGCCCAGUUUGUGCCGUCUGAGAUAACACACGGUCAGAAUUUAUGGCCAUGAUGCAAGAAUUGGGUGGUAAAAGUUUUAUGGACUUCUUGUAGGAGCCAGGGGAAUAGGGUAACUGUAAAUCUUGAAGGCAAUGUCUGCAGCCUUCGAAAGGGAGAGUGUGUCAGUGAUUUCAGUGCACUGAUUUCUUUUUACACCAGUAACUAUGCCUGCAGCAUACAAAUCCACCCUGCAUCUGACAGGCUCCUAAAUCCCAUCUAUGGCUGUGCCAUAUCCUGUGCAAUUGCUAAUGAUCCACAAGAUGGCACUUGGUCCUUGUGUUACUCUGAAUUUGCUUUUUCCUCUGCUCCAACUUGUUAGAUGCCACAGAGGUCUGGGUGUUAUUCUUUACAUUCUGAGUUAAUCCUUUUAUUUUUUUAUGUUGCUGUUAAUCUGGAAAAAUGGUAAUGCUAAAAUGUUCUGAAAGCAAUUAAUGGAAUAUUUUCUGCUGUAACCCACAUUUAGUGUUACAGUUAUUUGUAAAAGAGAGAACCCUUUGGGAAAACAUGCACCUUAGAUGUAAAUAUUUCAAUGACAUCUAAUUGGAUUUUGCAAAAAAACUUCCCAGCACUUUAACUUUCUGCUGUAGUAUUUGGCCUUAUCAAUGUGUAUGAUUACAGCAGUGUAUAAAUCCAGAGUGACAGAGAAUCAUUCCAAGCCACUGAAAGCUCCAUCAGGAAAAGCUCAGCAGAGAGUUGCUGCUGACUCCGUUACAGAGUGGAGAGCACCCUGGGGUGAUGGGGACAGUCCUCUGUACUGUGAGACCUAAAAAUGAAUCCCAGCAGAUACACAAGUGAGUAUUUGCAUCUGAGACUUCAAAAUACAUUUUCUUCAUACUCACAGGGAGCUACAACAGGGAAAAGCAGUUUAUCUUCAUGGCAGUCCUGGCCUCUUGCAAGCCAUCUUAUAGCCCAACAUCAGGCUUCUGGCCUUCAAUGCAAUGUCCUUGCAACUUUUCCUGCUGUUUGUUCCAUCUGUUUGACAACUGCUUCUUCUUGCUGAAAGGCUACAGUAACAGAGUCAAUUCUUGUCUUGCUGUUGCGUUGGACUGCACAUUCCAGAUUUACACAGUAAGUUUGUUCACGGGCAACUUUUCAAUGCCCUGGCUGUUGAACAAAGGUCUCUUCUCUUUGUCCUUGAUUUAGUUGGGCUUUUAAUACAGUUCUCUGUCGUUUCAGAAUUUCUUUUUAGGAAUUUUCAGUAUAAUGAAUGAACUGGUGAACCUUCUGUGGAAAAAAAAUGGUGUUUAAACUUGAUAGAUGUCACUGACACAUCUGUCUUCACUUUUCCAAGUGGCUCUAUCCAUACUGGUGCACUUUUAUUCCCCUUCCUGCAGGCCCUCCAGCAGGAGUAUUAGAUUCUGCUCAUGUGUUUCCCAACCAAGUGAAUUUCUCAGUUGUAAAUGACAAUAUUGGCUGUGGGAUACAGCAGUCCACCUUCCAUUCUUGGUGAUGUCUGUCUCUGUGAGAGACAAUGAGAUUACUCUAGAUUGAAAUCGAAGCUUUCUGUCUUACACAACAGUGUUUUUAUUGAAACUGUAAAUCUGCAAAAUGUUUUGGAGUUGCCAAAAUGACUUGUGCUGUUUUUCAUUUCAAUUCAGACCAACAAACUCAAAUGCCACUUUGACUGUAUUGUGAAGUUUUAACUUCUAACACUUCUCUUCCAUUUCAAUUGGGAAAUUUCAUACUAUAGGUUUAAAAAUACUUUAUUUCAUUUGAAAUAUUGUGAGUUUUCUGAAAAAAAGAGAUACUCUUCAGUCUGCCAGAACAGUCUUUCUCCUCCUUGGAAACUGCAUUUGCCCUUCUCCAUGUUGAAUUUCUGAAAAACUGUGCUCUUGCCUGGAGUUAGUGUGCUGAUUUGAUCAUAGCUCCAAAGUCUGCUUUUCCUGCCCAUUCUCUUUGAGAACAGCAUAAGCCCCAAGGUAGGGUUUUGCAUUUUGCGCCUGUAAUGUGGCCUGUGCAGGCAGAUUUAUUUGCUCAGCAGAGCAUUCGCACUAAAUGAUACCAACAAUGUUAAGUAAUGAACUUUGCUAAUACAUGUUGAUGAAUUUCAAAGACCAGUCAAACCAAAAAGAGCACAAAGUAGUGUCGUAUAAAUAUUUAAUGUAAACUUAUGGAUUACAUUGUUCUGGAGGCUGCUAUCAGAGCCACUUUGAAACCACAUGUGGCUCAUGAUAGCAAGACAGAGCCAGUUUCAGCCAGAGAUGAGUUCAGACUCCUCUAAUAAACCCCCCUCCAGGGAUCACUUUGAAGGGGUAAAAUUUUAUGAGUAGCUAAAAAAUCAUAGUUCUGUAGUCAACAAUAAGCACCAUUGUAUUUCUUUUCUGCCCUAAUGAAAGGGACAGGAUAUGUAUUUUUAGUACCCUCCUCCAAAAUGAAGGCAAGAUGACAUGGUUUUGAGAGAAAAAUGACAAAUGAAGCAAAGUGUUCAUGGGGAAAGAGAGUCUUUGUAGCUGGCAUUGGUCUCCAGAUGCUCGUAGAGCAGUGGAUUUGGAAGGCAACUCUUCGUACCAGCUGCUGUCAGUGACGUGCGCCUGGGCUGGAGCAGCCGCUGCUCGGCUCCAUGUUACACAAACGGAUCAAUCUCCCUGUGUGCUGUGUGCACUGGAGAGAACAGCAUGUCCUGCCCUUGGGUUUUAUGAGCUUGUGCUGUUGGCACGGCCAUGCAGCCUCCACCCACUGCUAAGUGCGGUAAGUGCCUGCUUGUCUUUGCUCUUGUUCCCUGACUCUCUGCUUCUAUCUUCCCAUUUCAGUAAAUGGAUGCAAAGUGAGGUCCAGGGGCAACCUUGGUGGCUGUGCAACCUUGGUGGAGGUGAUCUGUGGCCAGGAGUUUCCCACAGAUUAAAGAGAGGCUGGUGGAAGACAGCACAGGACAAGAGAGCAUUUGAAGGGGGAGAGGAGAGGAUGAAGAAGUUCUAUAGCCGUUAGAAAAGGGUCUAAGUGGCCCAUCAACUUAACUGAAAUCAGUGGUAGAGACUGUUUCUAGCACUUACCACUUCUUCAGAUGUUUUCACUCAGUAAUAUCAGAUCACUGGAGCUGUGCCCAGUCUGCAGGUGGGGAUGCUGAAACAGAGAAGGGCAGAGGCACUGUGGAAGCCAGGAAUACAGCUUCUGCCCGCCGACUCCUGUUGCAUCCCCCCUUGUCAGCCAGGGAACACAUUCAAGAGCAGAAGGUUUCCUGCAUGGAAGUCAGGGCUGUGUCUAAUGUGGCUCCAUAAUUGAAUUUAUAUUCAUGUAACCAAUUGGAAGCACUUGGUGAGAGUAUCUCUGCAUCUAUAAACCCUCCCUCAAUAAGAAAGAACUCUAAUCUCUUUAGGGUCCCAGAUCCCUUUCUCCAUGGGGGUGCACCCCACGCCCAUCUGCAGCACAAGUCUCCAGCAUCACAAGAAGGUUCUCCCAGGUUGGCCUCACCAGUUCAUGACUGGCAUUGACUUGGCCUACUGAAUGUGUGUCAUGCAUCUUGUACAAACAUUUUAGUGGGAAAAAGUUAAAAUCAGCAAUUUUCAGUCAAAGGAGUCUUAAGCAAUUGCAACAAUGGCAACUUAGAAUCUGUAUUUCCAGAAAGUUUUAUAACGGUGGAGACAUCUGUGUUUUGCACUGUACUGGGUUUUAUUUUCAAUCAUUUUUCUCAUUAAAAAAAAAAAAAAAAAGUGUAUAUCUCAUUAUGUCUUCAUAUCUGAGCCAGCAUUUAAUUCUCUGGUUGCAUAUGGUCGGUACAGCAUGUGCCAUUACACCCACCAAAAUAAUGAAAUGACAGUUCCCUUUGCAAAGUGGAAGACCAGAAAUAACUUUCUGCUGAGAGAUGCUAUUAAUUUUUCUCACUCUUAUCCAUCCUGUCCCCCCCCCUUUCCCAAAAGUGAAUAGCUAAGUGGCCAUGAUUCAGAUCUCAGAAAGUGUUUUCUGAUGAGUCCAUGAUUUUUCAUAUAAGGGCUGCACUGCAGCUUUGAUAUUUAUGGUAUAUUAUACCCAUGUAAGAAUAAUUUUAAAAGGCUAUGAGAGCUGACUGCCUCUUGUUUUUAUGUGUUAUUUAUUGGCCUCUUACUUUUUCCUUUAUGCCACAGAAUUUUUUUAAUCUUUCCCCUUGAUGUGAAAAAGUAAUAGGCCUAAUAACAUAAUUCACAUUGGGAAUUCUCAUGCUUCCCUGUGCAGGCAGCCGGGAUCCAAACAGGCUGUGUCCAGCUGGUCCCUGCCACUGGUCCAGGGUCUCAGCAGAGGUGGCUGCGAUGCUGCAGAGCUCCAUGAGGAAAUCACAGCUUUAUUAGUGCACCUGGAUUGUUCCCAGUCUUUUUUCAAACUUUAACGCUGCUGUUCAUCUUGUUUUAAUAUUUUUUCCCCCUUAACGUUUCCUCCACCUAAGGAAAGCUUGUCUCUUCCUCGUUCAGGAGGUGGUUUCUGAACAAGACUUAAAAUCAAUUUGAAAGCAAUGAAAGGCAGCAUCAGGGUUCUUCCAUGGCUGGAAAACAGAGUGUGAAAACAGCACUUCUGGCCCAGUAACAAGGUCUGUGAGGGCCAAAUAAACUCCCAUUAGCCCAGGGCAAUAAAUACCCAUCUGCUAAACACAUGUGCAGCAAACCCCUGGCUAUGCUAGUAUGCAACUGUCACAGUUAUUGAGGAGGUGGUUUGUGGAUGGGCAGUUACCCUUCACUUAGGACUUGGGAGGAUUAUUUCAUAAAAAUAUAGCAUUUUUUUGUUUGUUUUUAAUUUUGAGCCUCCAGUUUCUUUAUUUUCCCUGUUAAUUAUGUCUCCUGGCAUGCACUUGUAGAAGAAAUCAGUCUGUUAGCUCUUGUAUCAGCUGUCUUGUGCCUCUCUGAUGGAAGACAUAAGCGCUGCUCAUCCCAAACAUGACAUAACACCUUUAGGGAAAGAGCUGGUGUGAAAGAACCACAGCACUGCUGCAUUGUGUGCUGUGGGGCUUAGGGUGGGCAAAUGGGGCACAGGGGCCCACUUUUCCAUAUCACUCUGUUCCUUGCACUUACAGGUCAAUCAGUGUAUUUUGUCAAAACUGCAGUGAUCUGUUUUGUUGCCUUUAUCUCCCUGAUGUAGUCUAAGCACCAAAUAUUGCUCCUGGAGAUAAUAAAGGAACAGCUGUACAUUCACCCCAAAGCUAUCAGUUACAAUUUAAUAAUAUUUUUCCCUUAUUGCUUUGUUUUUCCCCUUUCUACAUGAACUCUGAUGACAUCCCUUUGAGCAGCUGUUUAUUUCCAUUGCCAUUUUAUCAGGUCCCCUGUUGCUUUAGAGCAAUUCUUCACAGACUCAUUGUGCUGAUUACCCUGGGUAAGUUGGCUUAUUGCUGUGCAGUUUGGGGAGGGAUUGGUCUUUUUUUUUCCGAGAGGAAGGCUCAGUCGAAGGAUGAAUCACAUGAAAAAGACACGUGCCAUAAAGCCCAAAAAUCGUUGCAAGCCUCAUCAUGCCCGUGUUGUUUAUUCCAAUAUACUUUGGUAAGUGGAUCUCAACAAGUAAGAGAACCCCAGGAAAUGGGUGGGUGUUUGUUCAAAGGAAAGUAAAAGCCAAAUGUGCUCUUCAAUAGGGUUCACCUUUCAGGGUGUCAGUUGUUGUGAUUUGUUUUCUAGACUGUCCUUGCUCUUUGAAGAUACAACACUAUGUUUUCUUUUCCUGAUGCUGACAAUGUGCUUGGGAACUUGGCCCCUAAUCUGUCACUUACCUCAUUUGUUACAGUCUGCAGUGACACAUCCUUUUUACUUUUUCUAGCAGGUAUUUUUUAAAUAAAAGAAAAGGCAGACUUCUUAGCAGCAGCUUGG